GAAGAAAGAGGAAGAGAGAGAAGAAGGGAGGAAGAAGAAAGAAGAAAGAGUAAGAAGGAAAAAGGAAAAAGAAAAGGAAAAAGGGGGAGGGAAAAAGAGAAAGAAAAAGAGAGGGACCGGCGGCGAUCGCGGCACGCAGUCGGAGCACACGCGCGGCGGUCUGUCGACGGCACGCGGCGAGAUUUACGGGCACAGAUAAAAAGGUAGGGGUCGGCAUGGGUACCGGGACGGCGAAAUCGCCGGGGAGGUUUCCGAUUUUCGGGAGCUCAGCGGUAAAAAGAUUUUAAAGACGGUUUUUUAACGGGUGAUUUUAGUUGGUGAUUUCUGCGGAUGUUACACACCCCGCUUGAAGGCAAGCCCUGGAGCAUAACCUAGUUUUUUUCCUAAACUUGUGCAUGCCUUCC
rnacentral:lncRNA from 1 species